GACAUCAAUAGCUAAACAUGAUUUUUCUGAAUUAUUAUUACCACCUUAGACUUCUCUUCUUUUUUUUUGGGUUCUCCUCCAUUAUUAGGGUUAAGAGUUCCACUAGUCGACUCACUGCUUUCUUUCAUCUCUCAUUUUUUUUAUUUGAUUCAAUUUUUUUCUCUUGAUUUUAUUUAUUAUUAUUAUUCAAUAAAAAAUUAUUUAUGAAUUAUCUGUUACUUAUAAAUUAUUUUUGAAACUUUUUUUUAUGAUUUAU
rnacentral:lncRNA from 1 species